UUCCCCAUUCUCUCACAACACAGUCCGCCGCCUUCCUUGGGGACGGCGAAAUCGCCCCUCCUCCCUCUCUUUCACGCAAUCCGCCCUCUCCUCCCUUCCUGCAGUUCCCGGCGAGCAACGUCUAAGACCGCCACCGCCGUCUCAACCCCCGAUUCUCCCUCGCCCUUCCCCCUAUCUACAGAACCCUACGGCCGCAGUGGCUCAAGACCACGGCCAUGUCGUCCGCCACCGCGCCGCGCCGGCACCCUCCGCAUCUCCCCCCUCCCGUCUCCACACAAGCUCUCCUUUCCCCCGACCAUAGCCAUGGCACAGCCGCCGCCAAUGGCUGCCCGAGCCUGUCACCACCGCCGUCAAUGGGUGUCUCGCACAUUUGGACUAAAGGUUUUUCGUUGGUCCUCCCGUCUUGACCCGCAACAUAUAUUUGUCAAUCUCCGUUUCAUAUUUUUUUGCUCAUUGCAGGCGCAAAUUUCUCAGUUUCCUCGAAUUUCUCAAGGUGAUCUCCCUCCCCCUCUCCUCUUGUGGCAUAAUGAAUCUCAACGAUACAUUUACAAUUCAUUCAUUCUCAGAAUCGUAUUAUGUUGAAUUCCUCCUUUUCUUUUUCCGUUUUCUCAAUUUUCUGUUGUGUUGUAGAUAGGGGAUUCAAUGAUUGCUUGAUUCUGGAGGGAAAUUAGGGUUGAUAAGAUAGUGAGGAAAGGGAAAAAAAAGAUGGGUUAUUUCAAGCAGGCGCUAAGAAGCAUCGAUGCGUCGCACUCCAGCCCUCACUGCCUCGCCCCGACCUGUCCCCUUCAAUAAGUCGGCGCCGCCGCCCCUCAGUCCGCCGCUAUCCCCAGCAGAUACGUCAGCCACGGUAAGUAUUCUAUUAGGAAAGAUUGUGUUUUUGUAAAUAUAGAAUGAUUAGUGGUCGAUUUUAGAAGACAUAAAUUUUGGAAAGAAUGAAAAUAUAUACAAUCGUAUAAUUUAUUUACAUAUAAUCAACCAUUUUUUAGGUAAAAAUUUAAUAGUAAUAGAAACUUUAUAACCUAGACUUUCAGCUAUAAAUUAAUUAGUUCAAAUGCUAAAUAUUGUGUUUCUUCUUCUUCUUACUAUUGAAGAUUUUUUGUACUAUGUUAAUAUUUACUUUAAUUCUUUUUCUUUUUUUUGUCAGGAAAUCGUUUCCAGUUUUCAGUGAAUCCAUCUGCCCUGGCUUGCAAUGGUAAUCUCUCUCCCUCUCUAAGUUGCCAUAAUUUUCCAUCCUUAAUGUUAAAAUUGGUCAAAUGUGAAAAGUUUCCAGCUUUAUUGAGCAUGUUUAUUGUGUGGAUUUUGGCAAUUGAUGUAUGCUAUUGGAAUGAAUCAUGUAUAAAUCUGCCAUUAAAAUAUGCUCUGAUUUCUGAUUUUGGCGAUUGAUGUAUGCUAUUUGAAUGAAUCAUGUUUAAAUCUGCUAUUAAAAUAUGUUAUGAGUUAUGAUUUUGGCGAUUGAUGUAUGCUAUUGGUAUGAAUCAUGUUAAAUCUGCCAUUAAAUAUGUUCUGAGAUCUGAUAUUGCUUGAAUCCAAUUCUAAGAUAUAUUGAUUGCUCAGGAAAAUAUAGUGAUGAUGAGUGAAGAAAUUACUGAAAAGUUGUCUUUAAUAGAAAUAACAUUGGAUUUUGAUAUGUUUGCAAAUGACAGGUGAAAUUUAUUGGGUAGUAGAUUUGAUGUCCUAACUUUUGAAAAGUAUCUUAAUGUAAUUAUAUCUUUGAAAAACGGUGGCGUAUGAGAUUAAGUUUUUAGGGUUAAACUUACUUUAAUUUCACAUUCAUGUGGUUGUUUGUGCAGACUCUGAGCGACGUGGUACGGUAUUUUGAAAAUAGUUGUU
rnacentral:lncRNA from 1 species